rnacentral:rRNA from 1 species
CGUNCCAGCAGCCGCGGUAAUACGUAGGGCGCGAGCGUUAUCCGGAAUUAUUGGGCGUAAAGAGCUUGUAGGCGGUUGGUCGCNUCUGCUGUGAAAGGCCGGGGCUUAACUCCGGUUUUGCAGUGGGUACGGGCUAACUAGAGUGCAGUAGGGGAGACUGGAAUUCCUGGUGUAGCGGUGGAAUGCACAGAUAUCAGGAGGAACACCGAUGGCGAAGGCAGGUCUCUGGGCUGUAACUGACGCUGAGAAGCGAAAGCAUGGGGAGCGAACAGGAUUAGAUACCCUGGUAGUCCAUGCCGUAAACGUUGGGCACUAGGUGUGGGGGACAUUCCACGUUUUCCGCGCCGUAGCUAACGCAUUAAGUGCCCCGCCUGGGGAGUACGGCCGCAAGGCUAAAACUCAAAGGAAUUGACGGGGGCCCGCACAAGCGGCGGAGCAUGCGGAUUAAUUCGAUGCAACGCGAAGAACCUUACCAAGGCUUGACAUGCAUUAGAUCGCGUCAGAGAUGGCGUUUCCCUUCGGGGCUGGUGUACAGGUGGUGCAUGGUUGUCGUCAGCUCGUGUCGUGAGAUGUUGGGUUAAGUCCCGCAACGAGCGCAACCCUCGUUCUAUGUUGCCAGCGGUUCGGCCGGGGACUCAUAGGAGACUGCCGGGGUCAACUCGGAGGAAGGUGGGGAUGACGUCAAAUCAUCAUGCCCCUUAUGUCUUGGGCUUCACGCAUGCUACAAUGGCCGGUACAGAGGGUUGCGAUACUGUGAGGUGGAGCUAAUCCCUUAAAGCCGGUCUCGGUUCGGAUUGGGGUCUGCAACUCGACCCCAUGAAGUCGGAGUCGCUAGUAAUCGCAGAUCAGCAACGCUGCGGUGAAUACGUUCCCGGGCCUUGUACACACCGCCCGUCAAGUCACGAAAGUUGGUAACACCCGAAGCCGGUGGCCUAACCCUUGUGGGGG